GCUCGAAUGGUGGAUUCGGUGGUGACUUAAAAUCCUUUGGCAUUUAAACGCCGUGCGGGUUCAAGUCCCGCUUCGAGUA
rnacentral:tRNA from 1 species